rnacentral:snRNA from 1 species
GUGCUCAAUUCAGCAGCACAUAUACUAAAAUUUAAACAAUACAGGGAUUAGUAUGGUCCCUGCACAAGGAUGACACACAAAUUCAUGAAGUGUUUCAUAUUCUU